rnacentral:misc_RNA from 1 species
CAAAAUGUUUAAUUUUAUUAUUUUGUCACCUUAGGUCGAUCGGUAUCUCACGUUCUUAAUUUUAUUAAGAAUUUCAUUUUCUAAGUUUUUCUAGGUCACACCCAUUUAUUUUCCUGGGCCAUUAGCUCAGGUGGUUAGAGCGCACCCCUGAUAAGGGUGAGGUCCCUGGUUCAAGUCCAGGAUGGCCCAUAUCUCUAUGUUGGGGGUAUAGCUCAGUUGGUAGAGCGCCUGCUUUGCAAGCAGGAUGUCAGCGGUUCGAGUCCGCUUACCUCCACUGAUUACCACCUCUUCCAUAAUCUUGAGAAAGGAAAAUUCUGAGUUGUGACACAAUUCUGAACGAAUCUAGCUUCCUAAUGAAAUCAUUAAGAUGCUGGACUCAUUGAAUUAAUUUCAUUGUUUUCAGAGAACCUUGACAACUGCAUAGAUUUUUUUUUAAAGACAAUAAGCAUCUUUAAUGAUGCAGAUUUAUUAUUUGUGCAAAUGCAUUAAUAACAAUUCUAUUAAGCUGAUGCUUCAAUUAUGAAGUUAUUGGUCAAGCUACAAAGGGCUCACGGAGGAUACCUAGGCACACAGAGGCGAUGAAGGACGUGGUUACCUGCGAUAAGUCUCGGGGAGUUGGAAGCACACUUUGAUCCGGGA